AGGGAAUCUUCCGCAAUGGACGCAAGUCUGACGGAGCAACGCCGCGUGAGUGAGGAAGGCCUUCGGGUCGUAAAGCUCUGUUGCCCUAGACGAACGACUUCAGGAGGAACUGCCUGAAGAGUGACGGUAUAGGAGAAGAAAGCCCCGGCUAACUACGUGCCAGCAGCCGCGGUAAUACGUAGGGGGCAAGCGUUGUCCGGAAUUAUUGGGCGUAAAGCGCGCGCAGGCGGCGACUUAAGUCUGAUGUUUAAUGCAUGGGCUCAACCCGUGUACGCAUCGGAAACUGGGUGGCUGGAGUGCAGGAGAGGAAAGUGGAAUUCCACGUGUAGCGGUGAAAUGCGUAGAGAUGUGGAGGAACACCAGUGGCGAAGGCGACUUUCUGGCCUGUAACUGACGCUGAGGCGCGAAAGCGUGGGGAGCAAAC
rnacentral:rRNA from 1 species